AUUGAACGCUGGCGGUAGGCCUAACACAUGCAAGUCGAACGCGAAAGUCCUUCGGAUGAGUAGAGUGGCGGACGGGUGAGUAACGCGUAGGAAUCUAUCCUGUAGUGGGGGAUAACGUUUCGAAAGGAACGCUAAUACCGCAUACGCCCCAAGGGGGAAAGCGGGGGAUCUUCGGACCUCGUGCUAUAGGAGGAGCCUGCGUCGGAUUAGCUAGUUGGUGAGGUAAAGGCUCACCAAGGCGACGAUCCGUAGCUGGUCUGAGAGGAUGAUCAGCCACACCGGAACUGAGACACGGUCCGGACUCCUACGGGAGGCAGCAGUGGGGAAUAUUGCGCAAUGGGCGAAAGCCUGACGCAGCCAUACCGCGUGUGUGAAGAAGGCCUUCGGUUGUAAG
rnacentral:rRNA from 1 species